CAAAACGACUCUCGGCAACGGAUAUCUCGGCUCUCGCAUCGAUGAAGAACGUAGCGAAAUGCGAUACUUGGUGUGAAUUGCAGAAUCCAGCGAACCAUCGAGUCUUUGAACGCAAGUUGCGCCCGAAGCCUUCGGGUUAAGGGCACGUCUGCCUGGG
rnacentral:rRNA from 1 species